GGGGUAGGGGUAGGGUAGGUGAGGAUAGGGGUAUGGGGUGGUGAGGUGUGAGGUGUCCACUUUUAAUUGGAGAGAUUGUUAGGAUAGGAUUAAAACAAGGUAAAAUUUGUUAAGGGUUGUUAUUUUUGUCAUUUUAUGGAGGGUAUAAUCACAUGGAUGAGGGUGUGUGGUAAUGUGAGAUAAAAUGAAUAAAAUUAGACUUGGGAGGG
rnacentral:lncRNA from 1 species